rnacentral:rRNA from 1 species
CCUACGGGAGGCAGCAGUGGGGAAUAUUGCUCAAUGGGCGAAAGCCUGAAGCAGCCAAGUCGCGUGAGGGAAGACGGACCUCUGUGUUGUAAGCUUCAUUUACAGGGGAGUAAAAGGCGGUACCUGUGCAUGAUGCCCCGUCCAACUUCGUUCCGGCAGCGGCGGCAAUACGCAGGCGGCCAGCGUUAUCCGGAUUUACCGGGUGUAAAGGGAGCGUAGACGGGAGUGCAAGUCAGGAGUGAAAGGCGGGGGCUCAACCCUCGGAUAGCAAUGGAAACUGUAAGGCUGGAGUGCAGGAGAGGUAAGUGGAAUUCGUGGUGUAGCGGUGAAAUGCGUAGAUAUCACGAGGAACCCCAGUGGCGAAGGCAGCUUACUGGACUGUAACUGACGUUGAGGCUCGAAAGUGUGGGUAUCAAACAGGAUUAGAUACCCGAGUAGUC